rnacentral:rRNA from 1 species
CUACGGGUCGCUCCAGUGAGGAAUAUUGCACAAUGGGGGGAACCCUGAUGCAGCAACGCCGCGUGGAGGAUGACGCAUUUCGGUGUGUAAACUCCUUUUAUAUGUCAAGAAAAUGACGGUAGCAUAUGAAUAAGCACCGGCUAACUCCGUGCCAGCAGCCGCGGUAAUACGGGGGGUGCAAGCGUUACUCGGAAUCACUGGGCGUAAAGGACGCGUAGGCGGGUUGGAAAGUCAGGUGCGAAAUCCUACAGCUUAACUGUAGAACUGCACUUGAAACUUCUAAUCUAGAGUAUGGGAGGGGGAAAUGGAAUUAGUGGUGUAGGGGUAAAAUCCGUAGAUAUCACUAGGAAUACCUAAAGCGAAGGCGAUCUCCUGGAACAUUACUGACGCUAAGGCGUGAAAGCGUGGGGAGCAAACAGGAUUAGAUACCCCAGUAGUC